UCAGUUGUGAAAGUUUGCGGCUCAACCGUAAAAUUGCAGUUGAUACUGGCUGUCUUGAGUACAGUAGAGGUGGGCGGAAUUCGUGGUGUAGCGGUGAAAUGCUUAGAUAUCACGAAGAACUCCGAUUGCGAAGGCAGCUCACUGGACUGCAACUGACACUGAUGCUCGAAAGUGUGGGUAUCAAACAGGAUUAGAUACCCUGGUAGUCCACACAGUAAACGAUGAAUACUCGCUGUUUGCGAUAUACAGUAAGCGGCCAAGCGAAAGCAUUAAGUAUUCCACCUGGGGAGUACGCCGGCAACGGUGAAACUCAAAGGAAUUGACGGGGGCCCGCACAAGCGGAGGAACAUGUGGUUUAAUUCGAUGAUACGCGAGGAACCUUACCCGGGCUUAAAUUGCAUUUGAAUAUAUUGGAAACAGUAUAGCCGUAAGGCAAAUGUGAAGGUGCUGCAUGGUUGUCGUCAGCUCGUGCCGUGAGGUGUCGGCUUAAG
rnacentral:rRNA from 1 species